GAAAUGUGUGUCCAAGCAGCAAGUCUGAGAACGAGUGAAAUGCUUUUUCUCUCAAGGACAAGCUGUGAUGGGGAGCGAAAUUUAGUAGCGAAGUUCCUGAUGUCACACUGCCAAGAAAAGCAUCUAGUGAGAAAGUAACUGCUCGUACCGCAAACCGACACAGGUAGUUGAGGAGAGAAUCCUAAGGUGUGCGAGAGAACUCUCGUUAAGGAACUCGGCAAAAUGACCCCGUAACUUCGGGAGAAGGGGUGCUGACCGCAAGGUCAGCCGCAGUGUAUAGGCCCAAGCGACUGUUUAUCAAAAACACAGGUCUCUGCAAAAUCGAAAGAUGACGUAUAGGGGCUGACGCCUGCCCGGUGCUGGAAGGUUAAGAGGAGAGGUUAGCGCAAGCGAAGCUUUGAAUUGAAGCCCCAGUAAACGGCGGCCGUAACGAUAUCGGUCCUAAGGUAGCGAAAUUCCUUGUCGGGUAAGUUCCGACCCGCACGAAAGGCGUAACGAUUUGGGCACUGUCUCAACGAGAGACUCGGUGAAAUUAUAGUACCAGUGAAGAUGCUGGUUACCCGCGACAGGACGGAAAGACCCCAUGGAGCUUUACUGCAGUUUGAUAUUGCGUGUUUGUAUCACAUGUACAGGAUAGGUAGGAGCCGAAGAUACCGGGACGCCAGUCUCGGAGGAGGCAACGGUGGGAUACUACCCUUGUGAUAUGACCACUCUAACCCGCUGCUCUUAGCGAGCAGGGAGACAGUGUCAGACGGGCAGUUUGACUGGGGCGGUCGCCUCCAAAAAUGUAACGGAGGCGCCCAAAGGUUCCCUCAGAAUGGUUGGAAAUCAUUCGUAGAGUGUAAAGGCAGAAGGGAGCUUGACUGCGAGACCUACAAGUCGAGCAGGGACGAAAGUCGGGCUUAGUGAUCCGGUGGUUCCGCAUGGAAGGGCCAUCGCUCAACGGAUAAAAGCUACCCUGGGGAUAACAGGCUUAUCUCCCCCAAGAGUUCACAUCGACGGGGAGGUUUGGCACCUCGAUGUCGGCUCAUCGCAUCCUGGGGCUGUAGUCGGUCCCAAGGGUUGGGCUGUUCGCCCAUUAAAGCGGUACGCGAGCUGGGUUCAGAACGUCGUGAGACAGUUCGGUCCCUAUCCGUCGCGGGCGUUGGAAAUUUGAGAGGAGCUGCCCUUAGUACGAGAGGACCGGGAUGGACACACCGCUGGUGUACCAGUUGUUCUGCCAAGAGCAUCGCUGGGUAGCUAUGUGUGGACGGGAUAAACGCUGAAAGCAUCUAAGCGUGAAGCCCCCCUCAAGAUGAGAUUUCCCAUCACUUUAAGUGAGUAAGACCCCUGAGAGAUGAUCAGGUAGAUAGGUUGGGAGUGGAAAUACAGCGAUGUAUGGAGCGGACCAAUACUAAUCGGUCGAGGACUUAAUC
rnacentral:rRNA from 1 species